UGGGAGUAAGAUGGUAUCGAUAUGAUCUAGUCUCAAUUAAGUUAGUCGCAGACGAAAAAUAAAACCUGUAAACAAUAUCUCUCUAUAUUUACUUGUUCAAGUGCCAGUGAAACGAAC